GUGGAUUAGGCAUGCAAGUCGAGCGAGAAGUUUACUUCGGUAAAUGGACAGCGGCGAAAGGGACAGUAAUGUGUAGGUACCUACCCCCCGAUCUGGGAUAGCUGCGGGAAACUGCAGGUAAUACCGGAUAAUGUCUUCGGACCAAAGGUGUGAUUCCGUCAGGGGAGGGGCCUGCAUCCUAUUAGCUUGUUGGUGAGGUAAUGGCUCACCAAGGCAACGAUGGGUAGCGGGUGUGAGAGCAUGACCCGCGUCAUUGGGACUGAGACACUGCCCAGACAUCUACGGAUGGCUGCAGUCGAGAAUCUUCGGCAAUGGGCGAAAGCCUGACCGAGCGACGCCGCGUGCGGGAUGAAGGCCCUCGGGUUGUAAACCGCUGUCGUUGGGGAGGAAAUGCAAAAGGGUUAUCCCUUCUGUUUGACCGAUCCAAGGAGGAAGUACGGGCUAAGUUCGUGCCAGCAGCCGCGGUAAGACGAACCGUACGAACGUUAUUCGGAAUUACUGGGCUUAAAGGGUGCGUAGGCUGCACGGAAAGUUGGGUGUGAAAGCCCUCAGCUCAACUGAGGAAUUGCAUCCAAAACUGCCGUGCUUGAGGGAGACAGAGGUGAGCGGAACUCAAGGUGGAGCGGUGAAAUGCGUUGAUAUCUUGAGGAACACCGGUGGCGAAAGCGGCUCACUGGGUCUCUUCUGACGCUGAGGCACGAAAGCUAAGGUAGCAAACGGGAUUAGAUACCCCGGUAGUCUUAGCUGUAAACGAUGAGCACUUGAUUGGAGGGUCCUCCAUAGCCUUCCAGUCGUAGCGAAAGUGUUAAGUGCUCCGCCUGGGGAGU
rnacentral:rRNA from 1 species